UAUGAUGUGUGGGCUUCUCAUUGUGGUGGCUUCAGUAGUUGGGCCAUAUAGGCUUAGUGGUUGUGACUCGUGGGCCCUAGGGUGUGCAGGCUUCAGUAGUUGGCAGUUCCUGGGCUCUAGAGCACAGGCUCAAUACUUGUGACACAGGCUGAGUUGCUCCACGGCAUGUGAGAUCUUCUGGGACCAGGGAUUGAACCCGUGUCUUCUGCAUUGGCAGGUGGAUUCUUUACCACUAAGUCAAUAGGGAAGCCCUGUAACAGUUUUUAUAUUGGACUAUUCAGUGGUGACUUGUUGUGGAGAACAGGCUCUAGGUGGCAAGGGCUUCAGUCGUUGUGGUAUCUUGUAUAAGUGGAAUCAAAUAGUAUUUGGAGAGCAGACAUCCUUGCUUUGUUACUGGUCUUAGAGGGAAAACAUUCAAUUGGUCACCGUUAUUACUGCAAAACAGUAGAUAUUUUGUAGAUGUACUUUAUCAGGUCUAAGUAGUUUCCUUUUAUUCCUGAUUUCCUGAAAAUUUUCUUAGAAAUGAAUGCUUUCUAAUGCUUUUUUGUUAUUGAUUGAUAAGAUGGUGUGGAUUUUCUUUUCCUUUUGUCAAUAUGGUGAAUUAAAUUGGUUUUUCAAAUGUUGAAAUUUCUAGGGUAAACCUCACUUGGUCAUUAAGAAUUAUUCUUGUUCUAUAUUACUGGAUUUAACUUGGCAUUUUAUGGAGCAUUUCUGUCUGUGUUCAUGAGGGAUAUUGGUCUGUAGUUUUUCUUUUCUAGUUUUGGUAUCAGGGUAAUAAUAUUGCCCUCAUGAAAUUAAUUGAAAGUGUUUCCUUUUCUAUUUUCAGAAGAGAGUGUGUGAAUUCUGGUAGCUUGAAUCUUUCAAGAUAUCGGUCCAUUUCAUCCACGUUACCAAACACCUUGCAUGCAGAGUUUUUCUUGAGCUUUUCUGGUGGCUCAGUCAUAAAGAAUCUGCCUGCCUAUGCAGGAGACUUGGGUUCCAUCCCUGGAUCGGGAAGAUCCCUCGGAGAAGGAAGUGGUUCAUGGGAUCGCAAGAGAGUUGGACACGAUUUAGCAGCUAAACAACAACAAUAAGGAAUAAGGAAUUUUCCUUAUUAUCCUUUUAAUUGUGAGUGGUCAUGUGUGGAUGUGAGAGUUGGACUGUGAAGAAAGCUGAGCACCGAAGAAUUGAUGCUUUUGAAUUGUGGUGUUGGAAAAGACUCUUGAGAGGCCCUUGAACUGCAAGGAGAUCCAGCCAGUGCAUCCUAAAGGAGAUCAGUCCUGGGUGUUCACUGGAAGGACUGAUGUUGAAGCUGAAACUCCAAUACUUUGGCCACCUCACGUGAAGAGUUGACUCAUUGGAAAAGACCCUGAUGCGGGGAGGGAUUGGGGGCAGGAGGAGAAGGGGACGACAGGAUGAGAUGGCUGGAUGGCAUCAUCAACUCGAUGGACAUGAGUUUGAGUAAACUCUGGGAGUCGGUGAUGGACAGGGAGGCCUGGCGUGCUACGAUUCAUGGGGUUGCAAAGAGUUGGACACGACUGAGUGAACUGAACUGAGAAUUUGCAUUUCUAUCAAAUUAACCUGGUAAUGGUGAAAGUUGCUCAUCUGGGGGACAGCAGUUUGAGAAGUACAGCUCUGGAACAGUUUCUCAACCUCGUUAUUGUUGACAUUUGGGGUUUUAAAAUCCUUUGUUGUUGAGGCUGAACUGUGUGUUAUAGGUUAUUUAGCGUCUUCCGUCUCUACCCACUAGUGCUACUUAAUCCAUGUUGUGACAACGAAAAAUGUCCUCAAAUAUUGCCAGAUGCUCCCCAGGGCAGAUAGAGGCCUCCACGCACUUCAGGAACCACUGCCUUGGAUAACUAUCUAGUGAAAACCCUUAAGUCUUUAUCUCUAAGUUCUUUUAUUUUAGCCUAGUUAGAUUUUCCUUGGAGACAUUGUAUAUUAUUAUCCUUAUGCUUGAAUGUUGAAAGUCCAGACGCCGGCAUUCUGUUUGAUAGCUGUGAGGGGAAUGGGGAAAGGCUGAGCAUCUCGUAUGUCUCUGUUGACUUAAUCUUCUUUUAGUGUCGUACUCCUUUUCUCCAUGUGCCUAGUAUGUUCUUUAGUCCAGAGACCCUGUUCCCCUUCCAGAGGAAAGAAAAUUCUCCCUCCUUUUUGU